rnacentral:lncRNA from 1 species
GGGCACAGACCAGCCCAUAAGGGUGUCUGCAUGACUAAUAGUCAUUUCGGGCGCGGACCGUCCGUCGUCAACCUCGCCCUGUCAUCACGAAACGUGCAUAACCUAGACGACGAACCGCACUCUGCCGUGGCGUCCGCAUGAUUGUCAAUACUCAUAGCCGGGCACAAACCGGCCCAAAAGAGACUUUGAAGAAUUCACAUGGAGUUCAUCAUAGAUAGUCUAACACCCCCCAUGCUCACCAUACCACCGACAUGGCCAGCNUCAAAGCUUUUCUUGUCAUACCACAAGGAUGGCCGUCAAAUCUUUUCUUGUUACACCACAAAGACGACCGCCCGAUGUUCGGUCAGCG